rnacentral:lncRNA from 1 species
AAUCCCCAGGGUGGAAACUGGACCACUGGAACCCUGAAUCCCCACCUGUACCACAGACGUUUCACCACUUCCUGCCUCAAGCAAGGGCCCUGUCAUCUACCCGGCAGCCCCAGCCAGGAAUCUGGCGCCUAGAACCAGUGCACAGACAGGACAGCAUCGACAAGUAUAUGCAGCCUGAGUGGUUUAACGAGCGAAUGAAUGAGUGGGAGGGGUCGAACUCAAGUCUUCCCUCACCUGAACCAGAGAUUAACUAGUCAUAAAGUCCAACAUCGUAGAUCUCCCUCACAUCCUGUCCCCUUUUGAUCCUGACUUUGCCUCCCUUGCUGGAUUGUGUCAAGGCUAAAAUGAGAUUAAUACACAUGAAAGUGUUUUGCAAAGAAUAAACCUUUGGGAACAAAAGAGAAAAGGAUAAAUCCCGAUAGAAUUUGUUAUUUAACUUACCAGCCUGUUUUCCUUUCUUUCAAGCUAUGAUUUUUUUGGUCUUGUUUUCUCUGCUGUGGCUUCCAGAGGCCCAUCACUCAGUUUAUACAUGGAACACUAUGCACAAACUGGUAACUAAGUCAUAUACCCUUUUAUGAUGUGGCUUCCAGUUAUUUCUUAGAGUGAGAUCCAGCUACCAAGAAGCCUUGACACUCAUGAAAAGGAAUUGCUGCUCAGCUUUUGUAGCUUCCAUAGCACAUAGCACAAAUGUUUAAUGUAAUCAUGGUAACUCAGGAGGCUGAAGCAGGAGGAUUGCAAGCUUGAGGUCAGCCUGGGCACUUUAGCAACAUCCUGUCUCAAAAUAAUUAAAUAAAAUAAAUUGACUAGAGGUAGCUCAGUGGUAGAGCAUGCGCUUAACCUGCAUGAGGUUCUGGGGUUUAAUCCCCAAUAUUGAAAAAAAAAAAAAAACAAAACCAGGAAUAAAAAAGCUAAACUUAUGGACCUAAAAAAAGAAAGAAAGAAAUUGUGUCAUUUGCUACAACACAGAUGGAACUGGAAAUAAUUAUGUUUAGUGAAAUACGCCAGGCACAGAAAGACCCCGUACUGUGUUGACUUCUCUCACAUGUGGCAUCUUGAGAGUUUGUAUGGAGGUCCUAGCAGGGGAAGGCAGCUACUCGAAUACAACUGACCAAAGAAUGGUCCUUCUUUAUCAAGAAGGUCGUCCUCUUCAACCCAGCCGGCAGCUUUAGGAGGGAUGCAGGUGGAGCGGUGAGGAAGGAAGGGACACCUGUCAGAUCAGCUGAAUCAAUGCUGUCAAUCAAUGGGGUGACAGAUGUUGCAGGCAGAGUGCCCUCACAUCCUCAGGUGUGGACUCUUACAAACGUUGAGCUCAGAAGUUGAGAGUACAAUGGGGGUUACCAGAGGCGGGGGGCGUCCGGGGGUUGGGGAAGAGAUGGGAAGAGGUGGAUCAAUGAGUACUAAGUUAUAGCUGUAUAGAAGGAGGACGCUUUGGUGUGUUAUUGCAUAGUAGGGUGAAUAGAAGGAUAAUGUACUGGACAUUUCAAAAAGCUAGGAUUUUGAAAGUUUUUACCAUAAUGAAAUGAAAAACGUUUGAGUAGGUAUGUUUAACCUGAUUUAAACAUUACACAAUAUAUAUGUGUAUCGGAACACCAUAUUACCCCAUUGAUCUGUACAUCCUCCACCCUACUGUUGAAAUUAUCUUUUGGGGAUACAACUCCGACCAGGUGAUUCUCCUGUUUAAAUAACUCAGUGGAUUCUCUACCAAUGGGAGAAAUCCCAAGUGGUUAUUGUGCCAUGCAAGACGCUCGAUGAUUGGAUUUCUGGCUACUUCUCCAGUCUUGUCUCUUUUCCUUUUCCAUAUUUUUUUAUUGGUGCAUUAUAGUUACAUAACAGUAGGAUCUGUACAUGCGUACAAUAUGACAAUGUAAUGUGGCCAACACAGCACUUCCCCUCUCCGCCCCUCCUCCACGCUCAGCCUCAUCCCCCUGAGCACUUCUGGGGUCCCACAGUCCCACAGAACUACCAGGAAGAGCCAGCAUUUCCUGAAAGAGACCACGGUGGCCUUCGCCUGUGCCUAGAAUUUCUCCUUGUCCAUCCUGACCCUGGACGUUCUCCUGGAGAACUGACUGCACAUUCUUCACGUCUAGCUCAAGUGUGACCUCCUCUGAGCAAUGCUUGGUGACCCACGAAGCACAGUGGACCAUUUCUUGGCUGUGAGGCCACUGUACCUAAUACAGGUUGAGCGUCCCUUAUCAGAAAUGCUUGGGCCAGAUGUGUUUCAGAUUUGGGAAUUUUCUGGAUUUGGUCUUGUUUAAAACAUCUGUGUGUGAUUAUUUUUGUCAUGUAGCAACAAAAAAACUAGCAUAUGUACUUCUUUUUAGUGCUCCUCCUUACUGAGCAAAACAUAAUAUAACAUUAUAUUCAAUAAAUAUUCACUGAGAAAACAUGAAUAAUUGAAAUAAUUUUAUCUUAUCACUAGUUAAGUCAUAAUGUCAACUGGCUUCCUCUGCC